GCAUGGUGGCGAUUCAAGGGAACGUUUGUUCUGAAAUAAUCAGGACGGAGGCUACAAGAAUGUGGGCUUUGCUGCAAAAGUGAUUUCAGGUUCUUCAAGAAGAUCCUUGCCUCAAGCUGACCCCAAUCAUAUCCUACAGGCCACGGAAAAUCACGAACAACCAUCCCAGCCUACUCUUCCUUCCUUGGGACAGGAGCAAAUUAGAAUGUUUAGAGAUAGAUGCUGGAAAAUAGCCAAGAAGGAAAUGGUCCUCGCUGUUGGUUCAGAGCAGAAAGUUGGCUGCGGAGGUAAAAAUGAAAGCGAGGAAACGACAGAGCGAUGUAAGAAGAACCCUGCUGGAUCAGAACAAAGGCCCAUCUAAGUCCAGCAUCCUGUUCUCACAGCAGCCAGUCGGAUGCCCACAAUGGGAAGCCUGCAAGCAUCAAUGGGCAAAGAGAUCACAUCCAGUUUGCCUCUCCUGUUUUCUCUAAAUGUCCUUCAGAUUUACAGACUCACAGAAGUCUCUGACUUCAGUCAAACUGACUGAGCAAGGCAGGAGAAAAGAAGCAAAGGGGAAGAUAAUUUAUAUAUAGGACCAGUGCUUUUUUUCUUAAAAAAUAUAUAUUUGGGGGUACUCUCUUUUUGACUCAAGGAAAUCACCAUUUUA